rnacentral:lncRNA from 1 species
CACUGAGGUACCGGUUCGACAAAGUCGUCAUCCUCGUCUUCUCCAUCCGGAGUUUCAUGUGUCUGACCACCCGAAACACACAUAGGUACCGGUUCGACAAAGUCGUCAUCCUCGUAUACUCCAUUAGAGGUAUCAUGUGUCGGUCUAGACGAAACACAUUGAGGGACCUGCCCAACUAAAUCAUCACUGUCGUCAACUUCCCGAGUAUGCAUGUUGAACGGCUUUGGAGGAGUCUGGAGAACCAACAUUUGGGAGUUGUUGUCCAAACUUGGGUCCUCUUCUUGAUUUGGAUCUGAAUGAUUCU